rnacentral:lncRNA from 1 species
GAUCCUCCAAUCCCAAAGGGUAAAAAACCUGUUUAGCUUCAUAUGUUGUGGAUGGUAAUUCAUUAUUCUCGGAAAGCAUGUUCUUGAAAAUUUUUAAUAUUCCCUGAAAUGUCUUAUCGGACACACCAUUUUUUGCCUUCCAUUGCAGCAUUUCCGGUGUGGUACCUAGUUUUUUUAUGUUCCUGCUUGCAAUCUGGGUACAAAAAUUUUUUUUGAUCAUCUACCAUACGUUGCAACUUUUCUAAUUUGUUCUUAGUUUUGCAGUCUUUAUGAACCCGUAGCACUUGAUCAAGAUCAUCAAUAGGGUCAUUUUCUGCAAACUCUUCUUCAUUAGCCUCGUCCAUUGUAGUAUCUGCAAAAGCAUGGCCUGCAGCCCAUUCCGGAAUGUUGUUAUCAUCAUCCUCUUCUUCGCCGUCUUCCA